GAUGAACGCUGGCGGCGUGCCUAAUACAUGCAAGUCGAGCGAAUGGAUUAAGAGCUUGCUCUUAUGAAGUUAGCGGCGGACGGGUGAGUAACACGUGGGUAACCUGCCCAUAAGACUGGGAUAACUCCGGGAAACCGGGGCUAAUACCGGAUAACAUUUUGAACCGCAUGGUUCGAAAUUGAAAGGCGGCUUCGGCUGUCACUUAUGGAUGGACCCGCGUCGCAUUAGCUAGUUGGUGAGGUAACGGCUCACCAAGGCAACGAUGCGUAGCCGACCUGAGAGGGGGAUCGGCCACACUGGGACGGAGACACGGCCCAGACUCCUACGGGAGGAAGCAGUAGGGAAUCUUCCGCAAUGGACGAAAGUCUGACGGAGCAACGCCGCGUGAGUGAUGAAGGCUUUCGGGUCGUAAAACUCUGUUGUUAGGGAAGAACAAGUGCUAGUUGAAUAAGCUGGCACCUUGACGGUACCUAACCAGAAAGCCACGGCUAACUACGUGCCAGCCGCCGCCGUAA
rnacentral:rRNA from 1 species